rnacentral:rRNA from 1 species
CCUGGCUCAGAUUGAACGCUGGCGGCAUGCUUUACACAUGCAAGUCGAACGGUAACAGGUUAAGCUGACGAGUGGCGAACGGGUGAGUAAUGCAUCGGAACGUGCCCAGUCGUGGGGGAUAACGUAGCGAAAGUUACGCUAAUACCGCAUACGAUCUAAGGAUGAAAGCGGGGGAUCGCAAGACCUCGCGCGAUUGGAGCGGCCGAUAUCAGAUUAGGUAGUUGGUGGGGUAAAGGCUCACCAAGCCAACGAUCUGUAGCUGGUCUGAGAGGACGACCAGCCACACUGGAACUGAGACACGGUCCAGACUCCUACGGGAGGCAGCAGUGGGGAAUUUUGGACAAUGGACGCAAGUCUGAUCCAGCCAUUCCGCGUGCAGGAUGAAGGCCCUCGGGUUGUAAACUGCUUUUGUACGGAACGAAAAGGUUUCUAUUAAUACUAGGAGCUCAUGACGGUACCGUAAGAAUAAGCACCGGCUAACUACGUG